UACGGAGGGAGCUAGCGUUGUUCGGAAUUACUGGGCGUAAAGCGCGCGUAGGCGGCUUUGUAAGUUAGAGGUGAAAGCCCGGGGCUCAACCCCGGAACUGCCUUUGAUACUGAGGAUCUUGAGUUCGGGAGAGGUGAGUGGAACUGCGAGUGUAGAGGUGAAAUUCGUAGAUAUUCGCAAGAACACCAGUGGCGAAGGCGGCUCACUGGCCCGAUACUGACGCUCAUGCACGAAAGCGUGGGGAGCAAACAGG
rnacentral:rRNA from 1 species